rnacentral:misc_RNA from 1 species
GUCGCUGCUAGUUCCGCAGAUUGAGCUUUUUGAAAUGAAGUUUCUAGGUUGGUAUGUGAAGAUUGGGACAGUUUCAGUUUUGAUUGGAGCUUCCAUGGAAAUGUUCAUGAUUAAAACGGGCUUCUGUAUGAUAAAGUAACAGUUUUAGAGUCGGAGAAGCUGGCUUGGGAAAAUUCUCCUGAGGCUCAAGCAAUUAGAGAAG